AUUGAACGCUGGCGGCAGGCUUAACACAUGCAAGUCGAGCGGGGAAGGUUGCUUCGGUAACUGACCUAGCGGCGGACGGGUGAGUAAUGCUUAGGAAUCUGCCUAUUAGUGGGGGACAACAUUCCGAAAGGGAUGCUAAUACCGCAUACGCCCUACGGGGGAAAGCAGGGGCUCUUCGGACCUUGCGCUAAUAGAUGAGCGUAAGUCGGAUGAGCUAGUUGGUGGGGUAAAGGCCUACCAAGGCGACGAUGUGUAGCGGGUCUGAGAGGAUGAUCCGCCACACUGGGACUGAGACACGGCCCAGACUCCUACGGGAGGCAGCAGUGGGGAAGAUUGGACAAUGGGCGGAAGCCUGAUCCAGCCAUGCCGCGUGUGUGAAGAAGGCCUUUUGGUUGUAAAGCACUUUAAGCGAGGAGGAGGCUCUUAAGGUUAAUACCCUUGAUGAGUGGACGUUACUCGCGGAAUAAGCACCGGCUAACUCUGUGCCAGCCGCCGCCGUAA
rnacentral:rRNA from 1 species